rnacentral:rRNA from 1 species
UACGGAGGGAGCUAGCGUUGUUCGGAAUUACUGGGCGUAAAGCGCACGUAGGCGGCUUUGUAAGUUAGAGGUGAAAGCCCGGAGCUCAACUCCGGAACUGCCUUUAAGACUGCAUCGCUUGAAUCCGGGAGAGGUGAGUGGAAUUCCGAGUGUAGAGGUGAAAUUCGUAGAUAUUCGGAAGAACACCAGUGGCGAAGGCGGCUCACUGGACCGGUAUUGACGCUGAUGUGCGAAAGCGUGGGGAGCAAACAGG